rnacentral:rRNA from 1 species
CUACGGGAGGGCAGGCAGUGGGGAAUAAUUGGACAAUGGGCGAAAGCCUUGAUCCCAGCCAUGCCGCGUGUGUGUAAGAGAGGGUCUUCGGAUUGUAAAGCACUUUAAGUUGGGAGGAAGGGCAGUUACCUAAUACGUGACUGUCUUGACGUUACCGACAGAAUAAGCACCGGGCUAACUCUGUGCCAGCAGCCGCGGGUAAUACAGAGGGUGCAAGCGUUAAUCGGAAUUACUGGGCGUAAAGCGCGCGUAGGUGGUUUGUUUAAGUUGAAUGUGAAAUCCCCGGGCUCAACCUGGGAACUGCAUCCAAAACUGGCAAGCUAGAGUAUGGUAGAGGGUAGUGGAAUUUCCUGUGUAGCGGUGAAAUGCGUAGAUAUAGGAAGGAACACCAGUGGCGAAGGCGACUACCUGGGACUGAUACUGACACU